AUUGAACGCUGGCGGCAGGCCUAACACAUGCAAGUCGAACGAGUGGCGGACGGGUGAGUAAUGUCUGGGAAUCUGCCUGAUGGAGGGGGACAACUAAUGGAAACGGUAGCUAAUACCGCAUACCAUCAGAUGUGCCCAGAUGGGAUGAGCUAGUUGGUGGGGUAACGGCUCACCAAGGCGACGAUUUCUAGCUGGUCUGAGAGGAUGACCAGCCACACUGGAACUGAGACACGGGCCAGACUCCUACGGAAGGCAGCAGUGGGGAAUAUUGGACAAUGGGCGAAAGCCUGAUGCAGCCAUGCCGCGUGUGUGAAGAAGGCCUUCGGAUUGUAAAGUACUUUCAGCGGGGAGGCGUUACCCGCAGAAUAAGCACCGGCUAACUCCGUGCCAGCAGCCGCGGUAAUAC
rnacentral:rRNA from 1 species